rnacentral:rRNA from 1 species
ACGCUCGACAGUGUCAGCAGCCGCGGUAAUACGUAGGUGGCAAGCGUUGUCCGGAAUUACUGGGUGUAAAGGGAGUGUAGGCGGGAUAUCAAGUCAGAAGUGAAAAUUACGGGCUCAACUCGUAACCUGCUUUUGAAACUGACAUUCUUGAGUGAAGUAGAGGCAAGCGGAAUUCCUAGUGUAGCGGUGAAAUGCGUAGAUAUUAGGAGGAACACCAGUGGCGAAGGCGGCUUGCUGGGCUUUUACUGACGCUGAGGCUCGAAAGCGUGGGGAGCAAACAGGAUUAGAUACCCUGGUAGUCCACGCCGUAAACGAUGAUUACUAGGUGUGGGGGGAUUGACCCCUUCCGUGCCGGAGUAAACACAAUAAGUAAUCCACCUGGGGAGUACGACCGCAAGGUUGAAACUUAAAGGAAUUGACGGG